CAAAGUGUUCAAGAGCUGCUACUACUUGCAGCACAACGCAUAAGGUUGGUAAGGCUAGGCCAAAGUUCAAAGCCACUCAUGAUAUGGAUUUCAAUCGUGAGGAUACCCUGUUAUUCAACUAUUUAUUCUCAGAUGGAUAUUCAGACGAAGAAACCCUUGUCAGAAUGCUCCAAUAUCGACUCACUAGGUGACAUAUUCAAACGUUGAUACCUGGAUGACCUAUAGAUGGGAGGGUCGUUGAAAUGGUAGCAAUGCAAAACACAUGUUCAAAUCAACAUGUUAGGCAUCCAUUCUUUU